CCCUUAGAGUUUGAUCAUGGCUCACAACGAACGCUGGCGGCAGGCUUAACACAUGCAAGUCNAGCGCGCCCUUCNGGGUGAGCGGCGGACGGGUGAGUAACGCGUGGGAAUAUGCCUCUUGGUACGGAAUAGCCUCUGGAAACGGANAGUAAUACCGUAUGUGCCCUUUGGGGGAAAGAUUUAUCNCCUAGAGAUUANCCCGCGUUGNAUUAGGUAGUUGGUGGGGUAAUGGCCUACCAAGCCGACGAUCCAUAGCUGGUUUGAGAGGAUGAUCAGCCACACUGGGACUGAGACACNGCCCAUGACUCCUACGGGAGGCANCAGUGGGGAAUCUUAGACAAUGGGGGCAACCCUGAUCUAGCCAUGCCGCGUGUGUGAUGAAGGCCUUAGGGUCNUAAAGCACUUUCUCCAGAGAUGAUAAUGACAGUAUCUGGUAAAGAAACCCCGGCUAACUCCGUGNCANCAGCCGCNGUAAUACGGAGGGGGUUAGCGUUGUUCGGAAUUACUGGGCGUAAAGCGCGCGUAGGCNGAUUAUUCAUUCAGANGUGAAAUCCCAGGGCUCAACCCUGGNAACUGCCUUUGAUACUGCUAGUCUUGAGUUCGAGAGAGGUGAGUGCANUUCCGAGUGUAUAGGUGAAAUUCGUAAAUAUUCGGAGGAACACCAGUGNCGAAAGCGGCUCACUGGCUCNA
rnacentral:rRNA from 1 species